rnacentral:rRNA from 1 species
CGCCUCCUAAAAGGUAACGGAGGCGCUCAAAGGUUCCCUCAGAAUGGUUGGAAAUCAUUCAUAGAGUGUAAAGGCAUAAGGGAGCUUGACUGCGAGACCUACAAGUCGAGCAGGGUCGAAAGACGGACUUAGUGAUCCGGUGGUUCCGCAUGGAAGGGCCAUCGCUCAACGGAUAAAAGCUACCCCGGGGAUAACAGGCUUAUCUCCCCCAAGAGUUCACAUCGACGGGGAGGUUUGGCACCUCGAUGUCGGCUCAUCGCAUCCUGGGGCUGUAGUCGGUCCCAAGGGUUGGGCUGUUCGCCCAUUAAAGCGGUACGCGAGCUGGGUUCAGAACGUCGUGAGACAGUUCGGUCCCUAUCCGUCGUGGGCGUAGGAAAUUUGAGAGGAGCUGUCCUUAGUACGAGAGGACCGGGAUGGACAUACCUCUGGUGUACCAGUUGUCGUGCCAACGGCAUAGCUGGGUAGCUAUGUGUGGACGGGAUAAGUGCUGAAAGCAUCUAAGCAUGAAGCCCCCCUCAAGAUGAGAUUUCCCAACUUCGGUUAUAAGAUCCCUCAAAGAUGAUGAGGUUAAUAGGUUCGAGGUGGAAGCAUGGUGACAUGUGGAGCUGACGAAUACUAA